rnacentral:rRNA from 1 species
AUUGAACGCUGGCGGCAGGCCUAACACAUGCAAGUCGAACGAGUGGCGGACGGGUGAGUAAUGUCUGGGAAACUGCCUGAUGGAGGGGGAUAACUACUGGAAACGGUAGCUAAUACCGCAUACCAUCAGAUUUGCCCAGAUGGGCUUAGCUAGUUGGUGGGGUAACGGCUCACCAAGGCGACGAUCCCUAGCUGGUCUGAGAGGAUGACCAGCCAAAAGGGAACAGAGACACGGUCCAGACUCCUACGUGAGGCAGCAGUGGGGAAUAUUGCACAAUGGGCGCAAGCCUGAUGCAGCCAUGCCGCGUGUAUGAAGAAGGCCUUCGGGUUGUGAAGUACUUUCAGCGGAGAGGCGUUACCCGCAGAAGAAGCACCGGCUAACUCCGUGCCAGCAGCCGCGGUAAGAC